rnacentral:lncRNA from 1 species
UGAUAGAAAAACAAUAGUAUGCUCAAAUAUACAACCGUUCUUAUCAUUACUAUGCCUAAAAAUAGUAUCCAUAACUACGAAAUCGGUCAUGUGUAUCAAAACAAUGUUACGACAACCACGAAUUAAUAAUAAUUGAAAUUGUGGAAAUUACCAUGCCAAGUAGUUCACUAAAAUGUUUUCGCCAUUUUUAUUGUGCAAGCAGGUUCUUAAAAAUCCAGAACAAAACACCAACUUUUUUCGCUGUUUAUCAAAAUCUGUUAUACAACGAAUAGCUGUCUUUUAUCUCGAAGCAGCGCCGGUAAGUAUAUACCCAAUAAAUUAGAGAACAGUAUACUGUAUACAUACUAAUUUCUGCUCAAUUUUACAGGUUGUUAUCAGGAACAUAAAAUUGCUCAUUAAUCCAUUAAUGAAUCCAUGUUGGAGCGCAUCAGCAGCAUCCACCCCAUGCUGGAUGAGUAGCUGAAGACGUUCAACCCUGAGGAUUGUUCCACGGUGGCCGCGAAUAAUUCCUGAGAAACGUCCUAUAGAAUUACGAAUACGUCGAGUGUAUUGAUGAGAUGAUUCACGCCCUGAACGGGUGUACCGACAUUUCGGUAGAACUACAGGACAUCGCGGCCAAUCUGAGGCGGAAGAACACCAGUGGACAUGUAAACCUAAUUGGAAUGAACUACACAUAGCGCGAGCAACCAAAGACUGACCCCGUCCUGCCGUCGAGGAUGACGGCAAUAUCUCUGAAGUAGGAGAAUCUUCCGGAAACUGACCCAUCCGGCCUGGGUGAAGCGUUUCUAUCGCCUUUCGUGUAAAAGUGCUCAUAUCAACAGGAACACAUCAAAUCUGACUACAAGAAUGGAAUUCAUUAUUGUCUCGAGCAAGGCCAGUGUUACCACAAGUACAGAUUUAUCUGGAAAGGUACAGAUUUUUUUAUAGUUUUUGGUACAGAUUCUGUACGGUACAGAUUACAGAUUUUUACGAAAAAGUACAGAUUGGUACAGAUUUUUGGAAUUGGUAAUUUUGAGACACAAAAUCCAAAAGAUACAUGAAAUUUGUAUCUAAUUUACACAAAACCUUAAUUGAUAGAUACAAUUUCCAUAGAAUUGAAUAAUAAUUAUAUAACUAGUGAAAUUAUUUCAAUAAAAACUAUGUUAAAUUUCCGAGUUUAUUAGGAUUUUUCAAUAAUUUUUAUUGGAUGUGGUACAGAUUUUGGGUACAGAUAUUUAGAAUCUUUGGUACAGAUAAAAAAGAUUUUUAAGCCUUCGGUACAGAUAGAAAUGUGGCAACACUGAGCAAGGCCCUUAGCAAACCUCAAAACCGACGAUGACGAUGAUCUUUUUGGAUGCAGAAUCAUGAUUCGUACGAUGUACAAUAUCUUAUUCAUCACGAAUUGUACUGCUAAUAA